rnacentral:rRNA from 1 species
UGAGGAAUAUUGCGCAACGGACGCAAGUCUGGCGCAGCAACGCCGCGUGGGCGAAGAAGGUCUUCGGAUCGUAAAGCCCUUUUCUAGAGGAAGAGGAAGGACGGUACUCUAGGAACAAGUCUCGGCUAACUACGUGCCAGCAGCCGCGGUAAAACGUAGGAGACAAGCGUUAUCCGGAUUCAUUGGGCGUAAAGGGCAUGUAGGUGGAGCCUUAAGUUGGAUGUGAAAUCUCCUGGCUUAACUGGGAGGGGUCAUCCAAAACUGGGGCACUUGAGGGCAGGAGAGGGAAAUGGAAUUCCCGGUGUAGCGGUGGAAUGCGUAGAUAUCGGGAGGAACACCAGUGGCGAAAGCGGUUUCCUGGCCUGCAUCUGACACUAAUAUGCGAAAGCUAGGGGAGCAAACGGGAUUAGAUACCCCGGUAGUCCUAGCUGUAAACGAUGGAUACUAGGUGUUGGUGGUAUCAACCCACCAGUGCCGUAGUCAACACGUUAAGUAUCCCGCCUGGGGAGUACGACCGACG